rnacentral:ncRNA from 1 species
GUCAUAUGACUGACGGAACCGUGGAAUCAACCACAAGGAAGUAUGAUCAUAGAUAAGCCGACCGUCUGGGCAGCCU